rnacentral:rRNA from 1 species
UCAAGCGACUAAGUGCAUGUGGUGGAUGCCUUGGCGAUCACAGGCGAUGAAGGACGCGGCAGUCUGCGAAAAGCCCCGGGGAGCUGACAACGAGCUUUGAUCCGGGGGUCUCCGAAUGAGGGAACUCCAAGCUUUAGCUUGAUCCAUGCGUGAAUACAUAGCGCAUGGAGGCGAACGCGGCGAACUGAAACAUCUCAGUAGCUGCAGGAAAAGAAAUCAACCGAGAUUCCGGAAGUAGCGGCGAGCGAAACCGGAACAGCCUGAAUUCGAUAUUGAGAAGAACACUGGAAGAGUCUGGAAAGGCUCGCCAUAGUGGGUGAUAGCCCCGUACGGGACGUUCAUCUCAAGGUACUGAGGAUUCGAAAAGUAGGUCGGGGCACGUGAAACCCUGGCUGAACAUGGGGGGACCAUCCUCCAAGGCUAAAUACUCGUGAUCGACCGAUAGCGUACUAGUACUGUGAAGGAAAGGUUAAAAGAACCCCGGGAGGGGAGUGAAAUAGAUUCUGAAACCGCAUGCAUACAAACAGUAGGAGCCCUUCGGGGUGACUGCGUACCUUUUGCAUAAUGGGUCAGCGACUUAUGUUAUGUGGCAAGCCUAACCGACUAGGGGAGGCGCAGCGAAAGCGAGUCCGAACAGGGCGAUUCAGUCGCAUGGCAUAGACCCGAAACCAGAUGAGCUAACCAUGGCCAGGCUGAAGGUGUGGUAACACACACUGGAGGGCCGAACCUACUGGUGUUGCAAAACCAGAGGAUGAGCUGUGGUUAGGGGUGAAAGGCUUAACAAAUCUGGAGAUAGCUGGUUCUCCCCGAAAACUAUUGAGGUAGUGCCUUGCGCAUGAGCUUCUGGGGGUAGAGCACUGUUAUAGCUAGGGGGACAUGGCGUCUUACCAAACUAUGGCAAACUCCGAAUACCAGAAAGCUUCGCGCAGGAGACAGAGCACCGGGUGCUAACGUCCGGACUCAAAAGGGAAUCAACCCAGACCGCCAGCUAAGGUCCCUAAUAUCAGCUAAGUGGAAAACGAAGUGGAAAGGCUAAAACAGUCAGGAAGUUGGCUUAGAAGCAGCCAUCCUUCAAAGAAAGCGUAAUAGCUCACUGAUCGAGUCCUUCCGCGCGGAAGAUGUAACGGGGCUAAGUUGAUAACCGAAGCUGCGGAUUCACACUUUGAGUGUGAGUGGUAGGGGAGCGUUCUGUAAGCCUGUGAAGGUGGAUCGUAAGGUCUGCUGGAGGUAUCAGAAGUGCGAAUGCUGACAUGAGUAACGAUAAAGCGGGUGAAAAGCCCGCUCGCCGCAAACCCAAGGUUUCCUGCUCUACGUUAAUCGGAGCAGGGUGAGUCGGUUCCUAAGGCCAGGCUGAGAAGCGUAGCUGAUGGAAAUCAGGUUAAUAUUCCUGAACCGGCGUUGAAUGCGAUGGGGUGACGGAGCAGCCAGAGUGGACCGGGUGUUGGAUGUCCCGGCUUCCGAGCGAUGGGUGCCUGCAGGCAAAUCCGCAGGCGUAUACCCAGGACGAAGGAUCGGGCCUUCUUUUGAAGGCGAAGCCACUGGAAGCGCUUCCAGGAAAAACCUCUAAGCUUCAGUUCAACGGCGACCGUACCGUAAACCGACACAGGUGGGUGAGCUGAAUAUGCUCAGGCGCUUGAGAGAACUCGGGAGAAGGAACUCGGCAAAUUGACACCGUAACUUCGGAAGAAGGUGUGCCGUAGUACCGUGAGAGGAGAGACACCUUGAGCGGGAAUCGGUCUCAGAGAAUAGGUGGCUGCGACUGUUUAUUAAAAACACAGCACUCUGCAAAGUCGAAAGACGACGUAUAGGGUGUGAUGCCUGCCCGGUGCUGGAAGAUUAAUUGAUGGGGUGAGAGCCCUUGAUCGAAGUCCCAGUAAACGGCGGCCGUAACUAUAACGGUCCUAAGGUAGCGAAAUUCCUUGUCGGGUAAGUUCCGACCUGCACGA